rnacentral:lncRNA from 10 species
GCCAUCCUGUGCUAUGUUGAGAGCGGCGUCCAGCUGAGCGUCUCCAAGUGUCUCCGAGCCGAGAGCCUGCGGUGGGGGGCUCUCGGGCCAGUGGACCCCGUCCCCACCGCGGCGCUCCUAGCCAGGCCGAGGUCGUUCGCCCCGCCGAGGCCCCUCUCCCCGGCCUGCUCAGACUCCUCCAAGCUCGCCCUGAUCCACUCCGCCCUGCACAAGUGCCAGCCGCAGGUCUAGGUAGGAAGGGGCUUGAGGGUUCUGGGCGCAGCCAGAGGCCCGGGGGCUGGAGGGGGGCGGGGCUCGCGCCCUCCCGGUUGGGGCGGGAGCGGGGGUGGGGGCGGGUCAGGGGCCAGGGUCAGGGGGAGGAGUCUGAGCGCCGCAGGGUGCAGCCAGAGCCCUGAGAAAGUGUCUGAGGGUGUCAUGACCCCGAAGGAGGUGGCCGAGAGCUCUGCGGUGAAGCCGAGCCCAGAAGUGGGGGUGCUUGAGCAGCUGGUGGAGGGAGGAGACUGCUGCAGUGUUAGGGUCAUGGUAGAGAGGGAGACAUGUCCCUGGUUAUACAGAGCCAGGAUUCUGGGAAAAGUUCUAGCAAGGGGAAUCAGAGCCUAGGAUGAGAGGAGCUCGGGAACUAGGGGCAGAGCCAGGGCAAGGAGGGGUCUGAGAGUGGAACCAGGAUGCAAAGGGGAGGGGCCUGGGAGCCCUGGGGGUGGGGUCAGAACCCAGGAGACGAAGGUGCCUGGGGCUUUGUCUCGCAUCCGGGGGAGUUUGACAGGAAUUGUCCGGGACCCCACGGAGGUGAGGGCUCAAAGGGUGGUGAGGGCACAUAGUAGGGGAGUGGAAGCUUGGCUCUCAGGCCUAGGCUCCUAUCCUGUCCCAGGCCAGGUCCAGGCCCUGGACCCCGCCUAGCGUAGGCUAGUGUGUAUCCCUGGAACCAGAAGAGAGUAGGUGGGCUCUGGAGGCCUCCCAGGACCCCCGUAGACUCUGUGAUGCCCACGCCUCAGAACAUGGGUGGGCGCUAUGAGGCAAGCCAGGACCUGCUGGGCACCCUGCGGAAGCAGCUUAGCGACAGCGAGAGUGAGCGGCGGGCCCUAGAGGAACAACUGCUGCGCCUGCGGGAAAAGACCAACUGCGCCAUGCAGGCCCACGAGGACGCCCAGCGCGAGGUGCAGCGGCUGCGGAGUGCCAACGAGCUCCUGAGCAGGGAGAAGAGCAACCUGGCUCACAGCCUGCAGGUGGCCCAGCAGCAGGCCGAGGAGCUACGGCAGGAGCGGGAGAAGCUGCAGGCUGCCCAGGAGGAGCUGCGGCGCCAGCGGGACCGGCUGGAGGAAGAGCAGGAGGACACGGUGCAGGAUGGCGCGCGGGUGCGCCAGGAGCUUGAGCGCAGCCAUAGACAACUAGAGCAGCUGGAAGGGAAGUGUUCAGUCCUGGCCAAGGAGCUGGUGGAGGUGAGGGAGGCGCUGAGCUGCGCCACGCUGCAGCGGGACAUGCUGCAGGCUGAGAAGGCCGAGGUGGCCGAGGCGCUGACCAAGGCUGAGGCUGGCCGCGUGGAGCUCGAGCUCUCCAUGACCAAGCUGAGGGCAGAGGAGGCCUCCCUGCAGGACUCCCUGUCCAAGCUGAGCGCCCUCAACGAGAGCCUUGCUCAGGACAAGCUGGAUCUGAACCGCCUUGUUGCCCAGGGGCUACAGAGCAGCAGGCACACUGCUGGUGGGGGAGGCACGUCUGUGCAGAGGUCCACUGUGGUCUUCAGCCCAGAACACGGACAUCCCAACCAGGGCUGCAAACUAGAGUUUGGGGCCCAGAUGGUGGGCUGGCCUGAUGGAACAGACAAGAACUGAGGAGACUCUCACCGCUACUGGAGGACCAGACUGAUGGGAGACAGAAGCUGUGCACGGACUGAUGGGAGACAGAAGCUGUGCAUGGACUGAUGGGAGACAGAAGCUGCGCAUGGACUGAUGGGAGACAGAAGCUGUACAUGGGCCACCACCCCUUCAGGGGCACAGUUGCCACUGGCAUGCCUGAGAGUUUGUUUUCAAAAGAAUGUCUUUCAGAAUUUGUGAUGAAGAACCCAAAAGCAAAUGUGACAAAAUAAAAAAUAGACAAAUGGGACUUCUGCACAGUGAAAGAAACUAUUAAAACAUGAACAGAGUAAACAGACAGCCUGCAGAAGGGGAGAAAAUAUUUGCAAACUGCGUCUGACAAAGGUCUGAUUUCCAGAAUCUAUAAGGAACUUAAACAAUUCAGCAAGCAAAAAAACCAAAUAAUCCCAUUGAAAAGUGGGCAAAGGACAUGAACAGACACUUCUCAAAAGAAGACAUAAAGUUGGCCAACAAACGCAUGAGAAAAUGCUCAACAUCACUAAUCAUUAGAGACGUGCAAAUCAGAACCACAAUGAGACAGCAUCUCAAGCCAGUCAGAAUGGCAAUUAUUAAAAAGUAAAAAAAUAACAGAUGUUGUUGAGGCUUUGGAGAAAAGAAAAUGCUUAUCCAUUGUUAGUGAGAAUGCAAAUGAGAUCGUCCCCUGUGGAAAGCAGUUUGGAGAUUUCUCAAAGAACAAAAAACAGAAUUAUCACUGGACCCAGCAAUCCCAUCACUGGUAUAUACCCAAAAGAAAAUAAAUGUCCUACCAAAAAGACACCUGCACUCAAAUGUUUACUGAACCACUAUUCACAAUAGCAAAGACAUGGAAUCAAUCCAAGUGCCCAUCAGCAGUGUAUUGGAUAAAGAAUAUGGGGUACAUAUACACCAUGGAAUACUACACAGCCAUAAAAAGUGAAAUUGUGGCCUUUGCAGCAACAUGAAUGCAUUUGGAAUCCAUUAUCCUAAGCUAAUUAAUGCAGAAACAGAAAACCAAACAUCACAUGUGCCCACCCAUAAUGGGGAGCUAAACAGUGGGUAUACACAGACACUGGGGGGUUACUAGACAGGGGAGGGAAGGGGGCAAGGGCUGAAAAACUACCUAUCAGGUUCUAUGUUCACCACCUGGGUGGUGGGAUCGUUAGAAGGCCAAACCUCAGCAUCACGCAAUAUACUCAUGUAAAAAACCUGCAUAGGUAUCCCCUGAAUCCAAACAAAAACCCAGUCUUUCUCUUUCCAAAACCCCAAAGCAAACUUACCAAAAAAACUUUCCAAGGAAAACACAAUCCCUAGACAAACAGCUAUAUUUUCAGCAGAGCAGAUGCCAGCCGGGAAGACACAGAGCUAGUUGCCUUCAACACUGACAGCCAGCCCCAGGUUGCUCAGAAAAGGCCACUGGGCAAGGAGAGGCGGGGACCUGGACCCUUGGGUCCCAUUGGCCUCUCUGUCAGAGGCUUUGCCGCUGGCCCUGGCUUCCGAGAGGCUGUUUUCCUGGAGAAGGCCACAGCGGUUCUUCUCAGAAACGUUGUUCUCCCUUUAAUGAUUCAGCACGCAUGCUGAGCGGGGUGCCGGUGGCAUGAGUGAGAUUGGACAUGGCAAACCUUUAAUGCCAGCGGGAAAGCUUCAUAAAGUGACAUUCGGCCUGAGCUGCAGCCUCUGCAGCUUAAUGGUGCACCUCGAGGUGGCUGCUGGCAACCCCAUUUGUUCGGCAGCAGGCAGGCCAACCGUCCGGACCCUCUUCUGGUUGGGGUGGGCCACUGAGAUGUCAUAGAUUGGAGGCAUCUGGGGGCCCUGGCUCUUUGAGGGGCACUCUGGGGUGGGUUGUGCCCUUGCCAUCAGCCUCACGGAAAAGAGCACUGGAUUUGGAGUCUGGAGAGCUCCUGGCAGCUUCCUGCCUCCCCCACUUUCCAGCAGUUUGCUCUGGGGUGAGAUUCCUUGGGGUCCUGAGCCUGUUUCCUCACUCAUUGGGUGCAGUUAAGAGCUACACGCUUUUUAUAUGCGUGUCCUUUCUGCACAAUGACACCCACAGCCUUGGGGACAGCAGCCGCCUACAGCCUCUGCACCAUCUGGUACCCGCACCUGCAAGUCCAGGUACAGGAUGUCACUGCGAGGUGUCACUCACUCACUCACUCACUCAUUCAUUCAGCAUGUUUUUGCUGGGUAGGUGCAUGGUACAGGCCUGAUCUGGCAAUGGGCCUUCUGAGUGAGUCUCCGGCCGGCAGGCUGCACUUGUUGCUGAGCUUUCUGGACUCUGGGACCUGGAUGCAGCAUCCCAGUUUCAGCCCUCAAGGGCACCUUGUCUUGACCCCCUUUCUUCUCCUUGCCCCCUCUCUCCCUGCCUCCAUCUUUCCCUUCUCCUCCUGUCCCUUUCUUCAGUAACUUUUGAGUCCCUCCUAUGUGCCAGGUGCUAUUCUAGGCACUGGGAGGGGGGAGGGGUGGCCUAGCAGCAAACAAAACAGACAAGUCCCCACUGUCCCUGCUACCAGGAGGGGCCCAGGAUUGGGUGGCCCAGGGCCUCACGUAGCAGUUCUAGAGUCUGGGCCCAGGGAACGCCACACUUUAAGCAGUGUGGGCCUGUGCUGACCUGCCGUUUUUUCUUGGCUCUUUUUGUCUGUCCUCCAUAAUUCACCAACCCCCCAGGCUGACCAGGAGCUCUACAAGCCCAGAUGUCCGUGGCUUGUGCGCACUAGAGAAUGGGGCGUCGCCGUGGAGGGCGAGCCUUUCAGACUUGGGGAUGCUUGUGGGCUGAUAUGGGGACUUGAGGGAGCGUAGACCUCAUAUCUCUCUCUGGAGAUGUGAUUCUGUGGGUCAGUGGAGGAGCCCAGUAGUUCUCUCUGAUGCAUGGUCCCCAGAUCACAGCCCGGGAAACGUGGUGCUGGAGUCUGUUGAGAUCGAAUCCUAGCCUGCCACUGUGACUGUGUGGGCUUGGGCAAGCACCAAUAAUUAUGGACUGUCUGUGAUUUCACCAUAUUUUGAAGCUAAGAGGUAAGCCCACUACCCUUCCCUGGAUGUUGGCAGAAGACAUGAAAUUCCCGGAGCAGAGACAGCUGUUGUUGUUACUUGCCACCCAGCAGGCAGCCCAAGCUUCAUGGUCCUCAUGGGUCCCCUCUGCCUCUAAACCCCAUGGCUGUGAUACUAAGAGGCCCAGGUGGAUGCUGCACAUGUAGGGGGUCUGUGUCCCAGCCAAGGACCCCAUCUGAGGAACCCUGUCUUGCUGAGUGGACUACAAGCACACCUGCCUGGCCUUUGCCCUUGAGGGGGACAUUAUCUUUAUUACACUGGAGUCCAAACAAGCCUGCCUCUGGCCUGGAGGGAGACAGCCUCUAUCUUCCAAGUUGUUCACUAUUCAAACAUUCUUGGAAAGAUAGUCUGGAGCAAACACUAUAAAUGGCUAUAUCCAAGAUGAGCAGAACCACCAGCGACCCAGGGGACUAGGUCUCAGGAGCAAGUGACUCAGCCCUGCUGAGCUUGUUCCCUUGUCUGUAGGAGGGGACAUAAUUGUGUUCACCCCAGAAGGUCACUCCAUUACCUGCUCCAUUAGCCCCUCUAGUCCCUGCCCCCUGCCCUUGCCCAUCCAGGAGUGGGGAUGGGGAAGCUGGAGGGAGGAGCAGGGCUUUGCAGACUUGGGCGAUUCCAUCAAUUUCUUGUCCUUUUGUAAACCCUCCUGCCUGUUUGGGGCUGGCUGCUGCUUCUAGCUCUGGUGAGCCAGGGCCCGUGCUUCUGGUGCUGCACCCUGGCCUCCUAAGGUGCCCCUGGCUCAACAGGCCUUCUCCAGUGUGACAGAUGACUACAGAGUGACCCUCCCAGCUGCUCACAGAGCUGACAGCUGAGAGGCUUGCAGAAAUGCCUUUUCUGUUUCAUUGUCUAUCGCUUAUGUACAGCAAUCUAAAUUUCUAGCUGUUAAUGAAAGAUUAUAGAUGUAUUAAAAAUGUCCCCAAAACCUCUCUUCUUUGCACUUGGAUUGUUAAAUUCCCAACCUCCAUUUUCAGGUUUUAAUGAACAGCACACGGUACUUCAUUGGCAUGUUGGCCUUGCAUGUAGUACCCUCUCUCAUCCCGUCUUGGGGGAAGCUCUUAGAACAGGUGUUUGAGUGGAGGGUCCCAAGGUCCCGACAGGACUGAUGGGCUCCCAUGAGCCUCCUCUGGAGGGUGAC